rnacentral:rRNA from 1 species
GAUGAACGCUGGCGGCGUGCCUAAUACAUGCGAGUCGAGCGAACGGACGAGAAGCUUGCUUCUCUGAUGUUAGCGGCGGACGGGUGAGUAACACGUGGAUAACCUACCUAUAAGACUGGGAUAACUUCGGGAAACCGGAGCUAAUACCGGAUAAUAUUUUGAACCGCAUGGUUCAAAAGUGAAAGACGGUCUUGCUGUCACUUAUAGAUGGAUCCGCGCUUCAUUAGCUAGUUGGUAAGGUAACGGCUUACCAAGGCAACGAUGCAUAGCCGACCUGAGAGGGUGAUCGGCCACACUGGAACUGAGACACGGUCCAGACUCCUACGGGAGGAAGAAGUAGGGAAUCUUCCGCAAUGGGCGAAAGCCUGACGGAGCAACGCCGCGUGAGUGAUGAAGGUCUUCGGAUCGUAAAACUCUGUUAUUAGUGAAGAACAUAUGUGUAAGUAACUGUGCACAUCUUGACGGUACCUAAUCAGAAAGCCACGGCUAACUACGUG